UACGUAGGGAGCAAGCGUUGUCCGGAUUUAUUGGGCGUAAAGAGCUCGUAGGCGGUUUAGAAAGUCAGGUGUGAAACCUCCAGGCUCAACCUGGAGACGCCACUUGAUACUUCUAUGACUUGAGUUCGGUAGGGGACCAUGGAAUUCCCGGUGUAGCGGUGAAAUGCGCAGAUAUCAGGAGGAACACCGAUGGCGAAGGCAGUGGUCUGGGCCGAUACUGACGCUGAGGAGCGAAAGCGUGGGGAGCGAACAGG
rnacentral:rRNA from 1 species